UACGAAGGGGGCGAGCGUUGUUCGGAGUUACUGGGCGUAAAGGGCGCGUAGGCGGCGCUCCAAGUCAGGCGUGAAAGCCCCGGGCUCAACCUGGGAGGUGCGCCUGAGACUGGAGGGCUGGAGGCCGGAAGAGGGUGGUGGAAUUCCCAGUGUAGAGGUGAAAUUCGUAGAUAUUGGGAAGAACACCGGUGGCGAAGGCGGCCACCUGGUCCGGACCUGACGCUGAGGCGCGACAGCGUGGGGAGCAAACAGG
rnacentral:rRNA from 1 species